AUACGGAGUUGCCUUCCCGAAAGGCAGCGAUGAACUGCGCGAGAAAGUCAACGGCGCGCUGAAAACGCUGCGUGAGAAUGGCACCUAUAACGAAAUCUACAAAAAAUGGUUCGGUACAGAACCUAAAUAAAACGACCUGAUGUUGGCUUGUGGCCCGGUAGUGAGGACGCUCACCGGGCCUACAGCUCUUUUCCGUGACGGAUAAGACACUUUCACGCCAUUUCCGCGCCGGAUAGAGCAU
rnacentral:sRNA from 1 species